rnacentral:lncRNA from 1 species
UGUGUGGACAGCCUUACACACUGCAUCGUAUUUCAUUCAAAUCAAUGUAGGAAUCAGUGGCAAGAGGACUGGGUUUUCCUAUAGGUUAACUGCAUUGCUCUCAUAAGAUUUAGAUGCCAUUGUUUAGUGACAUGAUUAAGUCCACCUUACCAAGUGGUGAGCUCUUUGAAAUUACUCUACUAUGCAUUAUAAAUUAAAAUUUCCCUUGCUUGUGACACAUACAAGCAUUCUAGAAAGAAUAUAGGCAAAGACAAACACAGUAUUGGAAAAAAACUAGUUAUAUUUUCCUCCAAUCCCUACACAUGACGGAACUGAGUCCAAUGAUAUUAACUGACUUUCCUCAAAAACACCUGUGAUAGGGAGUUCCCGCUGUGGGAAAGGAUAGGCACAGUGGGUUAAGGAUCCAGUGUUACCACUAGCUGUGAUAUAGGUCGCAGAUGAGGCUCAGUUUCAAUCCCUGGCCUCAGAACUUCUAUGUGCUGUAGGUGAGGCCAAAAAUGAAACAAACAAAAAACAGAACAAAAACAUAUAUGAUAGAGCCAAAGCUAGAAACUUUAUAUUUUGCCUCUCCAUGACACUAUACUGACCUGAGGGUUAGUAAAAGACCUCUUUGCCCAAAGGUAGGGAAUUAAUUGCUAUGAGCCCAGAUAGGGUUGUGUGGCAAUCAUUUAGAACUAGAAACAACAGUAGCUACAUCAGUAGUCACAAUAGGAAUGUAGAGAAUACAACCUGAAAUUGUCAUAAGUGCUUAAGAGGAACUAACAGGUACAACCCUUGAAAUGAGAAAUAAGAGACUGGAGUUUCCAUUGUGGCUCAGCAGUAACAAACCUGACUAGUGUCCAUAAGGAUGUGGGUUCAAUGCCUGGCCAUGCUCAGUGUGUUAAGGAUGCUGCAUUGUGGUGAGCUACGAUAUAGGUCACAGAUUAGUCUGGGAACUUCCAUAUGCCAUGGGUGAGGCCCUCAAAAAAAAAGGGAGGGAGAGAGAGAGAAAGUACACUAGUGUUAAAAACAAAAAUUUUAUACUUAAAUAAUUCAACUGUUGCACCUGGGAGAUUUAAUACUCCACCUUAUUAUGACAAUGAAACUAAUAUGGAAAACUAAAACCAAAAGGCUAUGUGAACAAUGAGGCUUUUUGAUUAUUUAAUGCAGAGUAGGAUAAAAAUACAGUAUUUUUUAAAAUGGUGUGUGUGUGUGUGCUCAAUAGGCCAUCCAACUGCUCCCUGGGACAGGUAGUUCUAGAAUGAAUAGGAAGAAAGUCAGCUGGGUAGGGGAGCAGGACUCUUUAUACAAAGUAGCUGCAGAAAUCAGCUGAGGCUAAGCCAUGUCCAACAAAACUCAACCCCACAUCCUAGUGGUAAGGGAAAUCCAAAAAAAUCAAUCACAAUGUUAUUUUUAAAAGAAAACAGGAACAAAGAUGACAUUAUUAGAAAAGAAAACCUACAGAUAAAAAUAACCCACCAGAUCUCUUAAAGCUCUUUAGAAACAAAAUAUGGUACUUCAUAGAAAUUAUAGGCAUCUAAACAAAGAAACCAAGGAAUCCCAUGCAAGAGUCUAGAGAGCCUAAUGUAAAUCUGUUAAGUGUAGCAACAGGAGGAGAUGAGAAGGAUUCCACAAACCACCUGGCCACAGGAAUGAGAAAGCAUCCUCAGGGUAACAAGGUAAAAGUCAGGAAACUAUCUUUUGCCUCAGUCUAUCUCAAGGUCAUUCACCUGUUCCAUAUUUUAAAAGGACAAUCAGAUCAAAGGAUGCUAGAGAUGUGAUCUUUACAAACAAAUUGCAAAUCAAAUGUAAAUGAGUCAUCCUUGCUGGAUGGCAUCCACCUACAAAUUCUAAAAGUAACUCAAAGGUGGGACCUUGAGAUGGCAGAUCAAUGUAGAUAUGCUUUUAAACUGCCACACUCUAGACCAUUUGAGAUUUGCCAGAGAGAUUUCCCCACAAGCAGGCAUCAAAGGGGAGUCAGGUGAAGCUCCCUUUUCAUAAUGAAGCCAAAUCCCAGUGAGAAGCAUAAAGCAAUUGAUGCUCUGUCCCCACUUGAGGAAGGGCAGGGGAGAGAAAAGAGCACUGGGCCAGCAGGAAGACUGCUGUACUACUCAUGCUCGCACUUAAGUUACUGAGCCUUCUAAAGUCUCAAUUUCCUCAUUCUUAAAAGAGGUAUAAUAAUCCCUAACCAAAAAAAAAAAAAAAAAUUUAAUUCAAAGUAGAAUUCAAGGAGAUAACAUGACCAUCGCUGUCAAAUUACAGCAGCAACUAAUAUUUUUAGAGCUUUCAUUACGUUGUCAAGCACUGAACUAGGUAUCUUGCACGCAAUGCUCGCGUUGCAGGUACUCAACACUCAAACAAGUGAGCACAUAGAAAGCACUUUGUAAAGUGUAACUUGUUGUGAACACAUAGGAACUUAUGAACAGAUCAUGGGAUCUAUUAACAAGGAUGUAGCACUGAGCAAGCCACCAAACAUGAGAUACAGGAGGAAAAUCAACAUGCCUUCUGAAAGAUGAAAUAACACUGGAUUAAUAUGCUAGUCAGUUUCCUAAGGGUGCUAUAAACCACUAAGGUCAUGAAGCAAGAACAAAUUAAUGGUGGAUGGUAUCAUGUAAUUUCUCCCUAUUUUUAAAAUAAAAGCCCUCACCAAAAAUCAUACUCAAUGGGGCACUAAUGAAUACAUUAUGGCAUGGGACACUAUGCAACCAUUAGUAAAGAUGCUGUAGGUGAAUAUUCGAUAAUAGAGAAAGACAUUUCACAACAUGCUAUUAAAAGAGAAGAGCAAAUCACGAAGUAUAUGUAAACCAUGAUCCUAAUUCUAUAACUUAUGCCUGGGGGUGGGAGGGAGUCUGAAAUGGUAUACAACAACAAAAAAAAAGUUAUCUAGAUUUCUCUAGUACUGAACAUAUAAUUAAACUUCCAUUUUUUCAGUUCUUUCUGUUUUUUUCAUUUUUCUACAAUGAACACAUUAAUCUAUAAUGAGAAACUUUUAAAAAUACAAAUGAAUCUUUAAAUCCUAUCAGGGAAAACUGUAGCUUCACUCAUUCUAAGAAUGUAAAAAAGCAAGCUUUGCUUUGGAACGCAAUGGGAAGCACUUCAAAGUUCCUUCAGUGUUGCCAAGGUUUAUUUAACAAUAUUUUCUCACCAUAUAUUAUACAAGAACAGAACUAAACAGAUGGUCUACAUCGGAAACCCAGCAAUCUAGGAAAAGCUAUCCUCACUACCUACUCAUCAUAUAUUUCAUACUAUACAUCACACACACAAAUCCUUAUUGUCUUGUUAAUAACAUACAUGCCUCAGUACAACAUAGAUCCCUAUGUCAAAGUCAUCCUACAGGGCAUACAUACACACAUCGGUGCAUGUGUGUGUGUGUCUUCAGAAGAUGACACAAUUCACACUCACAGUAUUAACUGACACAAUACAAACCGGUUUACAUUGUGAGAUAUUCACACUCACAAUGUGAACUGACUUGCUUUAAAAGUUAUGUUCUUGCAUCAUGUAUUUGUCAAUUUUAUACAGAAAAAAAAAAAAAACUAAGUAGCUUGAAAUUUGCAGUAAACAGAGGCAAGGCUUGCAUUUGACUCUGUAUUAUGCAUGCAAAUGGCAUCUUCGCAUCAAAUUAGUCUUCCAGAAGCAACAUUUCCUUUAUGUCACUUCCUUCCUGAACCAAUCAAUGGCCCUUUAUUUCUUUCAGGAUCAAGUACAAAUGGCUCGGCCUGGCAUCCAAAGUUCACCCGGAGUCUCCAGGCUUCUUUGCUGAUAUUUUCCAACAUCAGCCCUUAACUCUACUCAGGCUAGAGUCCAUACUACAACCCCAAAACAGCACAUCCUUUCUGUGUUCCUUUAUUUGCAUUAUUUUUUCCCAAUGGGAGUAUCCUUCAUCUUUUUCCUUCCCCUAUAAAUCAUCCUGGUCUUUAGUAUCAGACUUCAGGCCAUUUCCAUGAUACACUCUCAUCCUCUGGUUUCUCUAACUUAUUUCUGAACCAAUCUGCUUUACAGUUUGGUCAUAUUUUGUCUAUUACUCUUUAGAAAAUUAUUUCUUAAGAAUACUAGACUCCCAAUAAAUGUAUAUUGAAUUAAGCUCAAAUGUCUAGCGGUAUAAAGUUUUAUAGAGGUGAUGGUAUAACAUGUAACAAAAAAGAGCCAGUGUUAGGACUUUAGUGACUUAACUGGAAAUACAUGAUGCCACUGCCAUUUAAAAAGAAUUUAGCUUUUUUUUUUUUAAUCUGGCCAUAAAACUAGGUCAGCAAGACCCUCUUCCUAAAAAUACUUUGUUGGGAAUUAGUUUUCUUUGUAUGUACCUGAAUGUAAUAAAACAGCAUUCUUUAAAAAUUGUAUUUAAUUCAGUCAUUUUGCUAAUUAAGACUAGACUUCUCCCCAAUCAGAAUAAAAUCACAAAGUCAUCUAAUUUUUUGAGCUCAAAGAGACCUUAGAGAUUAUUUCCAGAAUCAGAGAGUAACUUGCCCAAGGCCAGGUAGAUGGUUAGUCAAAAUGAUUUUUUUUUUUAAUUUUGUCAUCACUACUUAGGGUAAUUCAGUGUAAGGAAAAGGAAAUGGAUUCAGAGCCAGAAACCCAGGCUUCUAACACAAGCCAAGUUUUAUUUGCUUUGAGCUUUUUCCUGAGCUGUAGAGUGGAAGUAAUAGCACAUGGCGUCACAAGGUUGUUAGUGAUAGGUAGGUACCAGGUAAGAGGUAAUAUAUAAGCUGGCCAUUUUAAACUGCCAACUUGUAUUCUCAGCCUAAGCUGUGCUGGUUGUUCACACACUCCUAUUACAGGGAACCCUGUGCCCCGAAUCCAUGCAUCUCUUCUCUCGCCAAUGCCACAAACUUAGUCCAAACCACCAUAAUCUCUAUUCUUCUCUAACAAAAGUCUCUGAACUGGCUUCUCCCCAUUACUAUAUUUCCUUUUCCUAGACUGCAGCCAGAGUCCUCUUUCAAAAACCUACACCUGUGUGGCCCAUUUCUUCUUUCAACUCCUUCAAUAUCUCCCCUCAUUUUUCCCCUUAGACUAAACCAUGCACCCUCAAAAGCUCCUCAAGACUCUGCUGCCUUGGGGCUUAGUUCACCCACCAAGGUUUAUCUUGUAAUUUUCCUCCUUGGUCUUUACUCACGUCUACUCCUUCCAUUCCUGGAAAAUGCUAGUCUCCCCUGUGCUUCAGACCCUGCCAAGACUCUCUUUGCUGGGAAAGCCCCCUCUCCAAGUAGCUCUUACUCGUCAUUCAAAUUCAAUUACAUGUGAAUUCCUCAAGGAAAGCCCUUCCUAGUUUCUGAGACUAGCUAAGUCUCCCUAAAAUACAUCCUCAAGGUACCCUAAGUUCUCCCUCAUUAUAUAUUACAAUGGUAAUUAAUUUGUUAUCUUUUAGGUGUCUAUAGCCUUUGCUAUAAGGUUUUUAAGAGACUUGGCUUAGGCCUAAUAAAUAUUUAUUGAAGAAAAAGAGGGAGGGAAGGAGGGAUUCAGUUGUUUCUUGCAUAUCCACCCACAUUCUUAUUACUUUCUACCUCGUAAAUAUACGCAAGCUAGCUGACAUAACUACUCAUCCUUCAUGCUGUACACAUGAUACAAACAAAAAUAACUUUAAACCCACAGAAUGCCCACUCUUCUCCUUCCUCCUUAGCUCAAACCACAUUAUUGCCUAAUGGGAAAGAUAGGAAAUUAAAAUUUCAGUAACAAAACCAUCGCUGUUACUAGGAGCAGUUUCAAGCCUCCAUCUGAUAUGCCAGCACCUGUUGGGUCAGGUCGGUGAGAUUAGUUUUAUCUCUGAUACAUGAGACAGAAGUCACAGUUCCUCCCCACUGCUGCUCAGACAGAAGGUCCCCAGUGGAUAGCAGCUCUGAUUGCAGGCUGCCUGGACCAGACUGACCCAGCCCAGAAUUCCCCCAGAGAAUCCGGUAGGGACUGCGAAUCUGGGUUUCCUCCCAGUGUCUUGCUGCUCUGUCCUUCAGAGACAGUCAUGCAUCCCCUAUCCCAGGAGCAGGUGACAGCUUCUGGGGCUGCAAGGUUGAAAGAAGUGAAGAUGACAAGAGGGAGAAAGGUAAGCCUCCUUACCUGCCCACCCCCAAGUGUAUACAGUUGCUUUCAUGAGAAAAGGGGACAGGUUCCUGAAACAAGGAAGAUAUUUAUAUAAAUUCUUGUGUCCUCAUAAAACUGGCAUUCAUUCAAUUUAAAAAUGAAGUUGUGUCAUUGGUUGAAGUGUACCUAAUUCUGCACUUAAAAUAAGGAUAUAAAAACAGCCCUAUGCACGACACCUAUGCAGAAUCCCUUAAUAUCACUUGAUAUUUCAAUAGAAGGCAAAUACCAAUGAUGCAUGUCAACCAUGACAGCAUAUUUCCCUGCCUAACUUCCUUUCUUUCUGAGUUUCUUCAUACUGCAUAAGAGAGGAGGAACAUAAAGGGAGAAAAGAGAUGGAGGUUAUUUGAGCAGUAGAGUUCUGGUCUGCUGACACCCUCAGCAAGAUUCAUUAAUCUUAGAGAUUCUCACUCUCAUUUACUAAACAACAGUGAUUCACACAGAGUUACACAGCCACAGUAGCAAAGUUAAUUGGAAUCUAGAUCCCCUAACAUUUCUUCCUUCCUUCAGCAAUUCCUCAGUACUGCAAGCUAAAAUAUUAAGUGAGGCUGCUGUCGUCUUAUGAACAAGGGGAAAAAAAGGCUGGCUAGCAUGGAAUUAAAAAAUGGACACGUGUUUUCCUUCCAUUUUUAUUUUGCUCUGCUUUGUGUUUUGGCUUAAGCCCUUUGAGCAAAGUGAGAAGAAGGCUGAAGCAGCUUAGGCAGCCCUGUCUCAAUACUUGUAUCUCCCCCCCUUAGCAUUAGAUUAGCACUGGGAGCUCAACAUGGCUCUCACCCAAGUCCAGAGAAAUAAAGAAAGGAUGGAGGCCAGGAGAGAGACAGCUAUGAACACUGGCAAAUUCUGUUCAGUCAGUGGCAAGCAGCCAGAUAAGCCCUUUUAAUUUAACUCUUUAUCUUCUCCGGCAGAAGCAAACAGUGCACGUGCUUGAAGCAUCAUGACUUUCAAAGCACACAAACGACAUCAUGCAGGCACCAUUAUCGCAAUCAUGGGAAUGAAGAAACUGAGACUUACAUGAGAUUAUGGUCUAUGUUUUAUCAGGACAUCAGUAAUAGAUUCAAAAUCAGUGUCUACAUUUUGGAACCUGUGUCUCAGUGUUCUUGACAACCUGACCAUCUUCCCUACUUAGCGUCCAGACCAGCACUGCGUAUAUCGGUGUCACUGACGUUUUUAAAUAGUAAGGAAUAAUACAGAACACAAGGAAAUCACGAUGGUUGGAAGGGUAAUGGCAUGAAGAAAAGGAUCAUGUAAGGGAAGUAUCUUUUAAAUUUAUUUCAAAUAAUUCUACCGGCAUGGUGGACAGAGAUACAGUAAAGACAGUGUCUUAGGUAGGGGAAUAUAGUAAACAAGAUAUUCAGAGCAUAAACACUGUUAGAUGCCAGAAGACAGGGUUGGCUUUAGGAUUUGACCACAAUUGCGGAAGGUGGAACAUGGUCUUCUGGGGUUGGUCUGUAGCCAGUUACAAAAUGAAACAAGAAAAGAAAUCCGAAGGCCUUCUGGUCAAUUGCUUUAAUUCUAGACCCUGCUGUCCUUCUCUAGAUUAAUGAGCUACUUAUGAAGAACUCCCACAAAGGGAUAUACAUUUUUCAGCAGUCAUCACAGUCAUCUGAAUGGGAAUGCAGAUUGAGGGUGUUGCAUCAAAACACAAACUGAAAGCUUGUGACAAGGUCUAUUCAACCACCUUUGAAACCUAGAAAGAAGACAAUAAACACUCAAAGGUAAAGGCUAAGUUCUUCAGAAUGUCCAUAUUGGCAUUGUUUUUAAUAAAUUAUGUCAGAUAUUUCCUUGGAAUGAAAGUGCGUCAGAAAAAAAUAAACUGUCACUCCUGUAUCUCAAACAAAAGGACCACACUGUAGUCCACGCUCACCAAAUCUGUGCUGAUGGAUGGCGGUGGCGGUGGUGAUGACGAUAACAGUAGCCUUCCUACUCUGCCAAAAAUCAGAACUCACGGCUGGUGCCUUAACUCUUUUUAAGUUAUGUGGGUAAAAUCAGAAACUUAUUAUUUUCACUUUCUAAUUACUUGCUACUACCUAAUAUUAAAAUAAUGUGUGAAUUGGACUCAAAAAAAGUUAUUUCUUGAAGGGUUUUGUUUUCAGUCCUUAUCAGAGGGAGCUGUCAAAUACCACUGGAGAGGUUUCAUCAAGGCAUUAACAUUGAAUUGUUUGGGGGGGGUGGAAAGUGUGAGGGGUUUUUAGGCAUGGGCUCUUGAAAGAUGGUCUCUAAAGAGAGCCUCCUGACAAGGAGAUAGAACACUCAUGUCCUCACUGACUGGCUGCUACAGGGCCCCCCUCAGGGGUUAGCCAAGCUUCAUUUACUGCAGUGUACUUUGCUCUUCUCCUGGCCACCCAGCAGCCCAUAUCUGGCUGCAGACAGAAGCCAAGCCAACCUUCAUGGCCAGAUGAGCCAGGGAUGGGGGUGGGGUGGGCCAAGUGGAGUUCAUCUCUUCUGUAGUCCCCAAAGGGCACA